rnacentral:lncRNA from 1 species
UCCUCCCCUGCUCUCUUAAGUCCUUCACCAUCCACUCCCCCGCUCUUCUCACCAGCUCAGGUCCACGCCGACCCUACGCUCUCCUUCACCCUACUCCCAUGUCCACCCGACCCUACUAACCUCCAGUCCUUCACCCUACUCUCAUGUCCACCCGCCCCUACUCUCAUGUCCACCCUACCCUACUCCCUCCUUCACCCUACUCUCAUGUCUAACCUACUCUUUCCUUCACCCUACUCUCUCUUUCACCCUACCUUACUCUCACCUCUACUCUCUCCUCUACUCUCAUUUUAAUGUUUGGUUUGUUAAAUGUGAUACGCGGUGUGUAACGUCCAUUUUUAUAGUUUACGCCGCUACUUGAGUCAUCCCUCUCCCUCCCUCUCUCCAUUCCGCUUUCCACACAGACCUAGUGCCUCCCCCUGUCACUCAAGGAGCGCAUUUGUUGUUGCUUGACCACGAGACAUUUUCGUUCAGUCUGCAUGGUCAAUGUUGAUAACUACGAUGUUGUUUCCACUUUGAUCUUAAUAGAAAUCCACAAGUGUUCUAUAAUACAAUAUUAGUUUGUGUUUCUUACAUCUGCAAACAGGUAGUUUGUAUUUUCUUAACAAGUUAAGCUGAAUUGUGUUAGCCACUAAUGCUAAUCUUCUAGUUAGUUGGCUAGCUAACUAGCGAAUAAAAGUACUGAGUCAGAGCAAACGUAGCUAGCUAAUACAGCCUGAUACCAGUACUAGUAGAGGCUUAAAUCAGCAUGUUGUUUGGGCAAAAGUAUCUUCUAAAUCAAAGAGGAAUAGGUGAAGCAUGAAUAUGUUGGCUAUAUGAAUAAAUAUUUAAUGUAGCCAAAGAUUAUAGGGUCCCCUAGGAAACACUGAACAUCACCUUGGUCCUACCCUGUCACAAUAACUCGUCCAUGCCAUUUUCAUUCGUAGUCAUGUCAAACUACAUUGGAUUCAAAGUGCCCACUAUUAUUUAUAUUCGAACUAUAGAAUUAUAAAAAUCAUUCUAUUUCCAUGAUUCCAAAAGUUCAACCAAGUGUUUUGAUCUAAAUUGCAAUUGCAACAUUUGGUUAAAAAUAAGGCCAAGUAUUUUUGCCCAUAUCGUGGCAGUGUGGAAAUUAUCUCAAAUGAGUGCAGGAAAUGCUGAAAUUGAUGGAAAUGCAGGAAAUAAUAACAAUUAGGUUGAAGUUGAAUUGAACAGUAUAAACCAAUCAGAAAGGAGAAAGACCCAUUGAAAUAAUUUAGAAUGUAUGUGUUGCCACCCUAGGGUCAUGCACUACUCAUAAAGCAAAUGUAGAAC